AUCGCUUCUCGGCCUUUUGGCUAAGAUCAAGUGUAGUAUCUGUUCUUAUCAGUUUAAAGAGAAGGUCUCUUGUUGCCUUUUUGACCUGAUUUUUUGUACUUUCUCGGGGUUUUACUUCCU
ensembl:snRNA U2 U2 spliceosomal RNA